rnacentral:misc_RNA from 1 species
GAUGAAGAACGCAGCGAAAUGCGAUAAGUAAUGUGAAUUGCAGAAUUCAGUGAAUCAUCGAAUCUUUGAACGCACCUUGCACCCUUUGGCAUUCCGAAGGGUAUGCUCGUUUGAGUGUCAUUGUACUCUCACACUUCCAAUUCUUUGGAUUGGGAGCGGUGGACUUGGGUGCUGCUGCUUACCGUGGCUCACCUCAAAUGUGUUAGUGCAACUCUUGGUUGGACAUAGUACGGCGUGAUAAGUGUCUUCGCCGGCGCCUCUGUAAGGAGGGUGGCCGAUCGGGAGCUCUGUGCUUCAAACCGUCUUCGGACAAUCUUUGACAACUUGACCUCAAAUCGAGUAGGACUACCCGCUGAACUUAAGCAUAUCAAUAAGCGGAAGA